CUCAAGAGUGUAGGACUGGGCAGACUCAAAGGCAGAGGAAACUAGGCACACACAAAGUUUGAGGCCCUCCAAGCAGCCAGAGAAAAAGAGCAAAACCAGAUUGAUAAACAGGUUAUGCCAGAACCAGAAUUCAUGGGGUAGAGGUAUGUGAUGGAGUCCCACAACCUGUGCUCUGGGGAUCAGGCUGAAACUGCCCUGGUUGCAGCUGCUUUUGAUGCUAUUCGACUAUGAGGAAGCCCAGAAAAGUGCAGAAGUGAAACAAAUUGAAGCUGACAGACAGUGAGACAAUGCCACACCUCCUCGGGGAUGGACUGAGAUCAAAACCUGACUCUGGAAGGUCCAUGCAGGGACACAAGCAGAAAUGGCUGGUAAAACCACAUAUCCAGAGAGCCAAACAGCAGAAGAGAGUGGAACAGGUGUUCAAGGGACUUCCCAAUCCAUUUGGGACUGCGAGGGUCCAAAGAGCAUCCCAAAGUCUCAGGCGCUUUUUGAGCCUGUCUCAUUCAGACCCAGUUAAUGCUGCUGUCAAUGCCUGGGAAGGGACGUUACUUCUAAGAAUGGUACAUGCAUGAACAAACAUCUGACAAAAGACUUAUUAUCAAGGCCAUAAUCUUGAGAAUACUAUGCAGGACAUCUGAAGUGUCAGGAGUGUCCUGAUUUAUGUUGCAUUGUGCUGUACAACUGGACAUGUGUUAAGAGAUAAAGUGACAGUAUGUGUGCUCAAGAA